rnacentral:rRNA from 1 species
AACGAACGCUGGCGGCAGGCUUAACACAUGCAAGUCGAGCGCAUCCUUCGGGGUGAGCGGCGGACGGGUGAGUAACGCGUGGGAACGUGCCCUCUUCUACGGAAUAGCCUCGGGAAACUGAGAGUAAUGCCGUAUACGCCCGCAAGGGGAAAGAUUUAUCGGAGGAGGAUCGGCCCGCGUUGGAUUAGGUAGUUGGUGGGGUAACGGCCUACCAAGCCGACGAUCCAUAGCUGGGUUGAGAGGAUGAUCAGCCACACUGGGACUGAGACACGGCCCAGACUCCUACGGGAGGCAGCAGUGGGGAAUCUUGGAAAAUGGGGGCAACCCUGAUCCAGCCAUGCCGCGUGAUCGAUGAAGGCCUUAGGGUUGUAAAGAUCUUUCAGCUGGGAAGAUAAUGACGGUACCAGCAGAAGAAGCCCCGGCUAACUCCGUG